rnacentral:rRNA from 1 species
UACGUAGGGUGCAAGCGUUGUCCGGAAUUAUUGGGCGUAAAGGGCUCGUAGGCGGUCUGUCGCGUCGGCUGUGAAAACCCGAGGCUCAACCUCGGGCCUGCAGUCGAUACGGGCAGACUAGAGUGCUGUAGGGGAGACUGGAAUUCCUGGUGUAGCGGUGAAAUGCGCAGAUAUCAGGAGGAACACCGGUGGCGAAGGCGGGUCUCUGGGCAGUAACUGACGCUGAGGAGCGAAAGCGUGGGGAGCAAACAGG